UUUCUCGAGUUUGGUUUCGUAAAUGCGUGAAACAUAGCUUUUUGUGGUUCAUUCGAGAUUAGGGCUUCAUCAUUCCCUUCCUUCCUUACAGAACUCAAACUGUCGUUUUAUCAUUUCAUGAUCUGGAGACUACCUCUUCUCUUCUCAUCUCUAAACCUCCCUGACGUUAUAUCUUCAUCUCUUCUGAGAUAUGAGCGGCUUGUGAGGAUGAUUGACCCUCAGAACCACCGUCAGUUUAUCAGAGAUGGCUUCCUCCGAUGUUGUUCUCGUGCACUCCGCCUUCGACGCUCUCUGACUCGGUAGAUCUGCCCAGACCAUUGGUUGUCGUCACCUCCAUUUUUGGACUCGAAAAAAUCAAGAAGCUAGGUGAAUUCAUGGGAAUCACUCUACUCCUCCUUUAUGAGAAGAAAUCGGUGAUACAUGGGUUCAUUCCUGCUGGUCGCGCCCCAUAUUACCAUCCGUCUUUGUGAGCAGGUUCAGUCGUGAGAGUCUUAUGAUUUGAAGUUGCAAGAUGUACAAAUAUGUACAAGAUUACGAAACACCCUUUCGUGAUCCGGUUCAUCCCCCAAACCACCAUUGAUGAAGUAAUCGAGAAUGCUCUCAUCAUCAACCUAGAGAAGUUCAUGCUGCGGAAGUUUGACCCUUUUCAAGCUCUCGCUAACACUAAUUUAGAACUCCCUGUUGUUGUUGGGCAAUUUCAAUUUGUCCAAAGUUUGGACCUGAAGGACGCUACAGUAACUGGUCAAGUUGUUGUUUGUUUUGUGAUUGAACCGAGCAAUGUUUAGGGGUCUCUUCAACUCAGGUGAAAGGGCAGAGUCUGCCAUGGUGGUCACUACUGUGAAUCCCAAAAUAUUUGGAGGUUGUUCCACCAUAUGAAUUACGAACAACAUUCAAUCCGCAGGUAACCUAUACCUCAACUCAACACCAGCAACGAAAUUUUAUUUUGACCUAGUCCUUCAUGCAAUUACAGAGUUCACAGCCAGCUUAGAAGGCCCAGUUGGAGACGUUUUCCCAUGUAUCGAUACCAAAGACGAAGAGAUAAAAAAGAAGGAAGUUGUCUCAAUAGGAGAUCUUAACAAGUUCAUCUCCAAUCCUGGCGACUAGACACAUGGACUGAUUUUAUUUGCAAAGCUCGGGUUGUUGAGGUAUUGCAACAAAAUGGCUGGUCUUUCGUCUCUUGCUCUGGAUGCAGCAGGGAGCUUGACAAAUCAUGGACUUCUCUCUAUUGCAACCGAUGUGUUAAUCCGAACGUUACUGAAGUUAUAAAAGAGAUGCUUAAACUCACUAAGCAAGAUGCAGCUGCUCUGACUCUAGAUGAGAUGAAUGUUGGUGGCGGUGAGGAACUCCCACAAUGCCUGAAAGAACUAGCUGGAAAAUAUUUUUAUUUCAGAUACAUGUGAAACCAUUCAAUUUCACCCCUAACCACUGUACUUUCACUGUUUUUGCAAUUGUUAAUCACAUCAACCCGAGAUUUUCAAUACCAAUGAGGCACCAUUUGUUCAAGAGGAAGGUGGCGAACCAUCCGCAUCUGUCACCUACAAGGUUCGGGGUAAAGCCAAUGAAACAUAUCUAUCCGGUGUUGAAGGCAAAGAGGGUGGCCGUAAACGCCCCCGCAAUUGAAGUUACAAAGCUGUUAAGUGUUAACCCAAGUCUGCUUCUGCGUCUUUACAAUUUCAGGACUUACUUUGCAUUUCCUAUUUCAGACUCUUAUAUUUUUUU